rnacentral:lncRNA from 10 species
GGUGGGGGGCCCGGGGACUGGGGGCCCGGGCGGCAGAGCCCCUCCUGCCAAUGGGGGCGCAGUCACGCCGGGGCCGACCGGCCGCGAACGCCCGCGGGGAGCGGGAGAGGGUUUGCUCUGGCUACGGAGCUGGGAGCAGGGUGCUGGUGACGGGGCUCCCAGCACCUACUCAGUACCCUUCACCCAACCCCUGCCUCGGGCGUGGACUCCCGGCGGAGGCUCUGGGAGCCGGGCUGAGGGCUUGAGCCUAGCGUAUCUGGGAGAACUGGAGAGAGGAGUCUCAGAUGGCUAAAGUCAGGGGCGCCAGUUGGAGAGCCGGUGGCUCCUCCGAUACUCACACGCCCGGAUUUAACCAGUUCAGGGAGGGCCCAGAACCUAGACCUCCACCAGUCAUGGUGGGCUGUGUCUCCCACCUCCCCAGGGCAACCCAGAUCCAGCCCCCAACCUACCCCGGGCCCAUUCCUGUGUGGGCACCCGGACCCUACCCUUGCCCCACAGAGUGGCCCGCAGCCCCUGGCGGGGAGAGCAAGGGCUGUGAUUGGGGCCCAACAGAAACAGGAUAUUCAGAAGGGGCUUUCCCUCCUGAGGGACCACAUCUCCAAGCUUCAGACUUCCAGACAAGUCCCAGGGCACGGACGUGACCCAUUACGAACAGGCAGUGAAGCUGUGGCAGGGCUGGAGCUGCCCCAGGCUCUGGCAUCAUCCCCGAGGGCUGGAGCUCACUCCCCGCUAGAGGCUUUUCCGGACCCCACGUCCACAGGCAGGUGCAUCUGGUGAAGCUUUCGGCCACAGUGAGUCAUGGCAUAGCCAACGGGUGACACAGCACGAGGCACCCCCCCCGCCCCCCUCCACUGUCUCUUGUGAGCAGAGUUAAUCCCCAAGCUGGUGUUUCUUGGCGCCUUCGAGGUGUAUUUUAAAUUCUGCAAAGUGACUAAAAAUAUGCUUCAGCGUGCUGGGUAUGAAUGACUGUGACGGGAGGGUUAGGAAAACAGAUUUCAUUCUCAAAGUUGCCUGCUGCCUCUUUCCAGCUCGCUGAGCUCAGGCCUGCAAAGGCGGAUGGGGGGAGUUCCCCAUGGUGGCCUGGCAUGACGGGUGAUUAACAAACAAGGACAGAGAGCUAGGAGCUCCGUGGGGCUAGAACCCGGCCCCAGCAAUGAUCUCGUAAGUGUGUGAUGGUGCCAGCAGGUGGACAGAGUCCAGCUGUGGGAGGCUGCCCAGCUGUGGAACUGUGUCUAGUGGUGAAGGAGGCACAACCACAACUCUAGACCCAAGCCCAGGGUCCCCUUCCCGUGCCCCAAAACUCCUCAUCCCUUUGGCCACAGUCCUGUCCAGGUGGACACUUUCGGCCUUGACAGAAAGGGGAGCAUUCUCUUUCUGCUGCCUUCCCUUUUCACCACUGGGAAGGUCCCAGAGCAGGGGAAGAGGGUGGCAUGAGCCUUUCAAACCUGGGGGACCUCUGAGCUGCCACCAAGCAAGCCAGCCCUUCCCACUGUGUUUCACUGGGGUUUCAACUCAAAGGCAGCCUCUAGAAUAAGUCCUUGUGUGGGAUAAGGGGCCACCAAGGGCAGAGGGACAGGGAGGACAAGAAGCCCUUUCUGGUUGUGCAGCCCAGGACAAAUCCCUACAGCCUUCUGAGAAGCUCUGGCAGUAACCUGGGGCUGUCAGACAGAGGACUGGUAGGGUUCUUUCCUCCAUCUCGCCAAUGAAGAAACUGAGGCCCAGGGAAAAGAAGUAAUUUGCCCAAGGUCGAACACCUGGUAAAUGACAGUGCAUGGACUAAACCCAGCACAGCGAUGAUUCAGGACCAUGGAGAGCAUCCCGCGUGCAACCCCUGACCCCGACCCUGACUGAGGCAUGCUCUGCCUGUGUGGCCUAUUCACUCUUCCCACUUGUCCUUCAGGAACCCAGCACAGAAACAGCUUCCUCCGGGAAGCCUUCCCCGGCCCACCUGAACAACCAUUUCCUCCUCUGGGCUAUUGAGUAACCUGUGUAUCCUUCCAUCACACCAACACUGUGCUGAUUUUUGUCUGUGCAAGAAUCUGUCCCCCGCCCUUCACCAACAGACCGU